AACGAACGCUGGCGGCAGGCUUAACACAUGCAAGUCGAACGCAUCGCAAGAUGAGUGGCAGACAGGUGAGUAACGCGUGGGAACAUACCCUUUUCUACGGAAUAGCUCUGGGAAACUGGAAUUAAUACCGUAUACGCCCUACGGGGGAAAGAUUUAUCGGGGAAGGAUUGGCCCGCGUUGGAUUAGCUAGUUGGUGGGGUAAAGGCCUACCAAGGCGACGAUCCAUAGCUGGUCUGAGAGGAUGAUCAGCCACAUUGGGACUGAGACACGGCCCAAACUCCUACGGGGGGCAGCAGUGGGGAAUAUUGGACGAUGGGCGCAAGCCUGAUCCAGCCAUGCCGCGUGAGUGAUGAAGGCCUUAGGGUUGUAAAGCUCUUUCACCGAUGAAGAUAAUGACGGUAGUCGGAGAAGAAGCCCCGGCUAACUUCGUGCCAGCCGCCGCCGUAA
rnacentral:rRNA from 1 species